UACGUAGGGGGCGAGCGUUGUCCGGAAUAAUUGGGCGUAAAGGGCGCGUAGGCGGCUCUGCAAGUCAGUAGUGGAAGUCCCAUUUUCAAGGUGGGGAGGGCUAUUGAAACUGCGGAGCUUGAGUGCAGGAGAGGUUAUCGGAAUUCCCGGUGUAGCGGUGAAAUGCGUAGAGAUCGGGAGGAACACCAGUGGCGAAGGCGGGUAACUGGACUGCAACUGACGCUGAGGCGCGAAAGUGUGGGGAGCAAACAGGAUUAGAUACCCCCGUAGUCCCUGA
rnacentral:rRNA from 1 species